AUUGAACGCUGGCGGCAUGCCUUACACAUGCAAGUCGAACGGUAACAGGUCUUCGGAUGCUGACGAGUGGCGCACGGGUGAGUAAUACAUCGGAACGUGCCCGAUCGUGGGGGAUAACGAAGCGAAAGCUUUGCUAAUACCGCAUACGAUCUACGGAUGAAAGCAGGGGACCGCAAGGCCUUGCGCGAACGGAGCGGCCGAUGGCAGAUUAGGUAGUUGGUGGGAUAAAAGCUUACCAAGCCGACGAUCUGUAGCUGGUCUGAGAGGACGACCAGCCACACUGGGACUGAGACACGGCCCAGACUCCUACGGGAGGCAGCAGUGGGGAAUUUUGGACAAUGGGCGAAAGCCUGAUCCAGUCAUGCCGCGUGCAGGAUGAAGGCCUUCGGGUUGUAAACUGCUUUUGUACGGAACGAAAAGACUCUGGUUAAUACUUGGGGUCCAUGACGGUACCGUAAGAAUAAGCACCGGCUAACUACGUG
rnacentral:rRNA from 1 species